GCAGUCGAGCGAUGAGAUCCCUUCGGGGAAGGAUUAGCGGCGAACGGGUGAGGAACACGUGAGGAAUCUGCCUUCAACACUGGGAUAACUCCGGGAAACCGGGGCUAAUACCGGAUACGAGACCUGCAGGCAUCUGCGGGUCUGGAAAGUUUUUCGGUUGAAGAUGACCUCGCGGCCUAUCAGCUUGUUGGUGAGGUAAUGGCUCACCAAGGCGACGACGGGUAGCCGGCCUGAGAGGGCGACCGGCCACACUGGGACUGAGACACGGCCCAGACUCCUACGGGAGGCAGCAGUGGGGAAUAUUGGGCAAUGGAGGGAACUCUGACCCAGCGACGCCGCGUGCGGGAUGAAGGCCUUCGGGUUGUAAACCGCUUUCAGCAAGGAAGAAGCGAAAGUGACGGUACUUGCAGAAGAAGCACCGGCUAACUAUGUGCCAGCAGCCGCGGUAAUACAUAGGGUGCAAGCGUUGUCCGGAAUUAUUGGGCGUAAAGAGCUCGUAGGUGGUUCGUCACGCCGGAUGUGAAAAUCUGGGGCUUAACCCCAGACCUGCAUUCGAUACGGGCGAGCUAGAGUGUGGUAGGGGAGACUGGAAUUCCUGGUGUAGCGGUGGAAUGCGCAGAUAUCAGGAGGAACACCAAUGGC
rnacentral:rRNA from 1 species